rnacentral:rRNA from 1 species
UACGUAGGGUGCGAGCGUUGCCCGGAUUUAUUGGGCGUAAAGGGCGCGUAGGCGGUGAGAUGCGUCCGUUGUGAAAUCGCCCGGCUCAACUGGGCGGGGUCAGCGGAUACGGUCUCACUUGAGCAAGCUAGGGGGCAAUGGAAUUCCCGGUGUAGUGGUGGAAUGCGUAGAUAUCGGGAAGAACACCAGUGGCGAAAGCGGCUCUCUGGGGGUUUUCUGACGCUGAGGCGCGAAAGCGUGGGGAGCGAACAGG